UGUCUAUGAUGAUUGUAUUGGAUGAUAUUAAGCUGACCCAUUGUGGAUGAUUAAAGCUUAUACUGCCUUCCUUCUGAGACA